GGACAGAGAUGAGGAGAGAAGACGCGAAUGGAAAGAGUUGGUCGACCGCAGGAUUGAGUGGACUUGGAGCGAGAGUCUGAAGGUCAGCGACGAUUGGAGGAGGUCGAUGCUGGACGAACGGCCUUAUCACAGAGAUAGAAAAUGGCAGAAGCAUCCUUGCCAGAAUCCCACUCAUUUAUCAUUGGACAAGACAAACGACGAAGGAGGAAUAAUUCCACAACAGGCAGGAUGUUCUGCAGCAUUAAGAAAAGAACCGUUAGGAUGGGAAACAGCUUUUUCCAGCAGGCCAUAAGAUAACUGAACUCCUACCAUCAACCAGAUCUCAUCAUGUAUGAAACACCAGCAGCAUUGUACUU